UACGUAGGGGGGCUAGCGUUGUCCGGAAUCAUUGGGCGUAAAGCGCGUGUAGGCGGUCCGGUAAGUCCGCUGUGAAAGUCGAGGGCUCAACCCUCGAAUGCCGGUGGAUACUGUCGGGCUUGAGUACGGGAGAGGCGAGUGGAAUUCCUGGUGUAGCGGUGAAAUGCGCAGAUAUCAGGAGGAACACCGAUUGCGAAGGCAGCUCGCUGGAACGUUACUGACGCUGAGGCGCGAAAGCUAGGGGAGCAAACAGG
rnacentral:rRNA from 1 species